rnacentral:rRNA from 2 species
CAACUUUCAACAACGGAUCUCUUGCGUCUCGCAUCGAUGAAGAACGCAGCGAAAUGCGAUAAGUAAUGUGAAUUGCAGAAUUCAGUGAAUCAUCGAAUCUUUGAACGCACCUUGCGCCCCUUGGCAUUCCGAGGGGCACGCCUGUUUGAGUGUCGUGA